GUUACUUCAUGGGUGCUCACAUGAGCAUGCAGGGUGCUUCAAAUAGAAGAGAGAUGUCCUCAUCUUGCAGGCAGAUGUGUCAGACACAGCAGCGACUGUGAAGACAUCCCUCACCCUUCCUGAUAGCCCUUGGUUGAUCAUUCUAGGUCCAAUGAUUUCCGACCAGCGCUCGAUGGUAAGCAUCGAGGGUCAGGUGGUGUGUGAAGGGGCAUUGUCUGCGUUGGGGCUUGCUGUUGUCUUCACAUCCUACUACAACUUCAACCUCCAAUAUCAGGAUCACGCUGCCUGGACACUUGAAUUCAUACAGAGAAGCUGUGUCAGGAUCAACCCAGAGAGAGGGACAAAGGCACGACAGGGAAGGUGACCAGCAAGAAGAGCGGGAAAAUGGUUCAUAAGAAAGGGACAUCCCUGAAUCCUCAUGUUUGCACCCUCCUGCGGAAGCUCAUGGAUUUCGAGUGGGACUUUGUGUGAGUUUAACAAUCACAUCCCUGACUCUGUCUGUAGAGACAAACCCUCCAUAUCUCACUCAAUUACUGAAAAUCCCUUUAUGUCUGUGUCUCACUUAUUCACAUUGUUAUUUUUUAUUUAAUUUUGCUUAAAAUGUUCAACCUGGCAUUAUUUAUACAUUUAAUAAUUGACCAUAUUGAGCCAGCACACAGUAUUGUUCAACAGUAUUGUUCUGUCUAGUGAACCCCCGCAGUGUAACGGGGGAGGCUAUUUCAUUUUGAAACAGAAAAGUUAUGGUAUUUACUCAGUCCAUGGACUCAGAUAUUCAUACACAGUCAAAUAUACACCCUCACUCAGUCAGUCAGAUACACACACACACACACUGUGUCUCUUACUCACUCACAACUCAUCACACCAUUUUUAUUUGUAAGAGCUUGAGUAUUUGAAUGUUUUAUUUGGAUGUUAUUUUCUGUCAAACUCAGGUUAUUAUAAUAAACAAGAAUAAUAUGAAUAUG